CCUGUGUUUGGGGAAACCUACAGAGACAGUGACAUCACAGGCCAACCACCAACCAAAGCCCAGGACACCAGAGCCCUCCAGCACCAGCACCAGCACCCUCCCCAGGACACCCUAAUUAGAGGAUGCCCACCUGGGCCCUGACUCCACCAUGGGCUGCAGGCUACCUUACUGGGUGGCUCUCUGUCUCUUGGGAGCAGUCUCCAUGGAUCCUGGAGUUAUCCAGACUCCAAAACAUCUGGUAACUGGGACAACAAGGAGUGUGACCCUAAAGUGCAAACAACAUCUGGGACAUAAUGCUAUGUACUGGUAUAAGCAGAGUGUUCAGAAGCCGCCAAAGCUCAUGCUUGCCUACAAUUACAAGAAUCUCUUUGAAAAUGCGACUGCCUCCAGUCGGUUCUUACCUGAUCGCUCAAACAACUCCCAGCUGGACCUUCAGAUAAAAGCCCUGGAGCCCGAGGACUCCGCCCUGUAUCUCUGUGCCAGCAGCAAGGGCACAGCCCUGCACCUUCAACUUCUCCCUGUGCACAAACCUCCGGGCUCCAAACCAGGAAGCUGUGGGGGCCACCAACGCUCAGCUCAACAUUUCCUAGAGGACCCCAGAGAUCCCAGAGCCUCCUGCUGCCUGUAGGUUCAGUGGAUGCUG